CCUACGGGAGGCAGCAGUGAGGAAUAUUGGUCAAUGGGCGAGAGCCUGAACCAGCCAAGCCGCGUGAGGGAAGAAGGUACAGCGUAUUGUAAACCUCUUUUGUCAGGGAACAAAGGCGGGCACUAGUCCCCGGAUGAGGGUACCUGAAGAAAAAGCAUCGGCUAACUCCGUGCCAGCAGCCGCGGUAAUACGGAGGAUGCGAGCGUUAUCCGGAUUUAUUGGGUUUAAAGGGUGCGCAGGCGGCCUGUUAAGUCAGCGGUAAAAGCCCGGGGCUCAACCCCGCCGAGCCGUUGAAACUGGCGGGCUGGAGUUGGAGAGAAGUACGCGGAAUGCGCGGUGUAGCGGUGAAAUGCUUAGAUAUCGCGCAGAACCCCGAUUGCGAAGGCAGCGUACCGGCUCCACACUGACGCUGAGGCACGAAAGCGUGGGUAUCGAACAGGAUUAGAUACCCCAGUAGUC
rnacentral:rRNA from 1 species